ensembl:lncRNA
CCCUACCUAUAUGUACAUACUGUAGCUGCCUUAGUUACCUGAUACUCCAUGUACAAUGAAAGUAUUUAUACCCCUUGACUUAAUCCACAUUUUGUUGUUGCAGCCUGAAUUAACAGGUAAUCUAUGGUAACUGUGGUAAUUUAUACUUGAAUACCUUGUUUUCUUCUAUCACUGCCUUUAACCAUCUGUAACUGUUUUAAAGUCACCAUUGGCCUCAUGGUGAAGUGGUUUCCUUGCUCUUCGGCAACUGAGUUAGGACGGACACCUGUAUCUUUAUAGUGACUGGUUGUAUUGAUACAUCAUCCAAAGUGUAAUGAAUAACUUCACCGUGUUCAAAGGGAUAUUCAAUGUCUGCUUUUUUAUUUAUUUUUACCCCAUCUACCAAUAGGAGCCCUUCGUUGUGAGGCAUUGGAAAACCUCCCUGGUCUUUGUGGUUGAUUCUGUGUUUGAAAUUCACUGCUUGACUGAGGGACCUUACAAUUAUCUAUAUGUGUGGUGUACCAAGAUGAGGUAUAAUAUACAGUAGGUUCAAAAUAUAGGUUGAUGGUUCUGCAUUAAGAACGGAUCAGGAGAAUCAUCACACACACACACACAUAUACACAUUACACACACAUACAUUACACACACAUGAGCCUAUUGUGCUCUCUGUGUGUUUAAAGAGGGAAAUAUGGGCGCCAUGUGGGGCACGGAGGUAGGUGUGUGUGUGUGAGCUUGCGGUGGAGUCUGUGUGUGCGUGUGUGUGUGCUUGCGGUGGGGUCUGUGUGUGCGCGUGUGUGUGAGCUUGCGGUGGGGUCUGUGUGUGUGUCUGUGUGUGACAUAUGGGUGCCAUGAGGGGUAACUAUAGAGGAGGUGUAGAGGAUCCUCAGCAACCUAUUAACACUGCAAGAGGUCUCAGGAGGUCUCAGGGGGUCUCGGGAGGUCUCGGGAGGUCUCAGGAGGUCUCAGGAGGUCUCAGGGAGUCUCGGGAGGUCUCAGGAGGUCUCAAGGGGUCUCAAGGGGUCUCGGGAGGUCUCGGAAGGUAUCAGGGGGUCUCAGGAGGUCUCAAGAGGUCUCAAGAAGUAUCAGAAGGUAUUAAGGGGUCUCAGGAAGUAUCAGAAGGUAUCAGGGCGUCUCAG